rnacentral:rRNA from 1 species
AGCUAAUACCGCAUACGCCCUGAGGGGGAAAGCGGGGGACCGUAAGGCCUCGCGUUAUUGGAGCGGCCGAUAUCUGAUUAGCUAGUUGGUGGGGUAAGAGCCCACCAAGGCGACGAUCAGUAGCUGGUCUGAGAGGAUGAUCAGCCACACUGGAACUGAGACACGGUCCAGACUCCUACGGGAGGCAGCAGUGGGGAAUUUUGGACAAUGGGAACAACCCUGAUCCAGCCAUUCCGCGUGAGUGAAGAAGGCCUUCGGGUUGUAAAGCUCUUUCGCAAGGGAAGAAACGAUACGAGCGAAUAACUCGUGUUAAUGACGGUACCUUGAUAAGAAGCACCGGCUAACUACGUGCCAGCAGCCGCGGUAAUACGUAGGGUGCGAGCGUUAAUCGGAAUUACUGGGCGUAAAGCGUGCGCAGGCGGUUCUGCAAGUCAGAUGUGAAAUCCCCGGGCUCAACCUGGGAACUGCGUUUGAAACUACAGAGCUAGAGUACGGGAGAGGGAGGUAGAAUUCCACGUGUAGCAGUGAAAUGCGUAGAGAUGUGGAGGAAUACCAAUGGCGAAGGCAGCCUCCUGGCCUGAUACUGACGCUCAUGCAC